rnacentral:rRNA from 1 species
AUGAAGGAUGGUGAAGGUGUCGCUAAAAUGUACUCUAAGCUUGCUCUUAUCACAAAUGAGAUUGCCGGCUUAGGAAGUGAAGAGAUGACCGACAAAUUCAUCAUCAAGAAGAUCCUAAGAGCUUUGGAUGGAAAAUAUGAUAUUGUGUGCACAUUGAUCCAAAUUAUGCCCAAUUACAAAGAUCUCAAGCCAACGGAAGUCAUUGGAAGAAUUGUUGCUCAUGAGAUGUCACUCAGGGAUAAGGAGGAGCUCCACAACAAGUCAAGUGGUGCUUACAAAGCCUCAUGUGAAGCUCCCACAUCAUCAAGUGAGAAACAAACCUUCAAUGAAGAAUUGAGCCUAAUGGUGAAGAACUUCAACAAGUUCUACAAGAGUAGAAGCAAGGAAAGAAGUUCCAAGUCAAGGUCCUACAAUGACAAAAGAUCUUCUAGUCAUCAGCGUAAUUGCUACAAUUGUGGAAGACCUGGACACUAUGCCAAUGAGUGUACGACACCCUACAAAAGAAGAGAAGAUUCUCCAAAAAGAAGAAGUAGAAAAGAAGAAUCACCAUCAAGAAAAAGAAGGAGUAGAGAUGAUCGUUAUGAAUGA